UCCUAAUUUUCCUUUAUCAUAUGAUCUUAAUUAGUUUCUUCUUCUCUCUUCCCUUUUUUUCACGUUUCGUCUCUGUUUCCUACUUCUUGCAAAAAAAAAUUCUUUGGUUUCUUGCAGAAUUUUGGAUUUUGAUAGUUUUGGUCUUUGAACUGAUCUUUAUGAAGAAUCUUUAGAACUUUCCGGGAUUUUCUGUUGUCUUUGAGUUUUUGUUUUUAAUUAUUAUUAUUUGUUGCGUUCAUAUCCAAAUAUUUAUAAAAAGCCUUUCAAAUAUUUUAAAAGAUUAUUUCAGUCAAAAAAAUGGUUGAAGUUUUAGAUUAUCUAUCACUGAGAAGUAUAAAGCACAUGUACUAUAUUUGUUGCUUAAUAGUUAUUCUAAUGGGCACCUUAUGUAGAUUUUGAACCUCCUUGACCACUAAACUACACUUUUAGAUUGUGUUAAGGGGGUUCAAAACUUAAUAUAUAGAGGUAAAAAACAGAUUUUGCCUUAUAUAUACAGUGUAUUUUUUCGGCGAAGAUGAACCCCCUUGCGCCCCCCUAAAUCCGCCCAUGCUAAUGGGCUCUCUGUGUUGGCUGCUAAUUUCUUUCUCUUUGACUAUGUUAGUGUGUGUACUAUGUGCCGCCCUUUAUAUAAGGUUAUGUGCUCUGUAUUUUCAACAACAACUUCUGAUAUGAAUUCUUAACGGUCAUGUCUUCUUCUUCUUUCUUUUCUUUCGUAAUUUUGUCAUCUUUUCUUCUCUAUUUGUAUAUAUGUAUAAUAUAGCUUGAGCCUCUGUCUUUUGAGUUAUUUUGCAAUCUUUAUUUGUCAUUGCACUUAUCUAUCUGUACUCAGUUUUCUUUUGAAUAAUGACUAGCUAAAACUUUUACAUGAUGUUCCUGAUUUCUGCUUACCUUGUGUUUUUCUGAUAUAUUUUAUCACUGUUACCAAGAUAUCAUGGCGCUAAUAGGCAACAUCAAUCAAAUAAUGAUCGUGACACCAGAUUGGAAAUGUAAAGUCCAGAUUGUUGACAUAGGUCGAGAAUGAGAAAGUGAGAAAAAAAGAAGAUUUCUAAAUCUUAUUUUAGAAGAUGAAGAGGUAAUUUCAUCUAUCGUUCGUAUAAUGUAAUCGAAUUUUUAUAAUUAUAAGUUAGCUGCAUUUCUGACGAAUAUUGACACUUCAUAGGAGCAAUAAAUUAGAGGGAUCACUUGGGCAAUGACAUUUAAUAUUAUGCCGACAAGCUUAAGCUCUUCCACACAUACUUAAUCUCCACUACAAGAGUUAAAAUUUCAUCCACUUUAUACUUAAGACUUUCACACAAAUUUUAUUGUGUGCUUGAUAGAAAAAUUAUAGUGGAACCAAAAUAGUGAUAGAGGUAUACUAAUGCCACCAUCAAGCAAGUUGAAUCUGGCUGAUUUGUACCACAUUGUUGCUGAUCUUGCUAUUGAAAGUGGUAACUCAGUUCUACCCAAUAUUAGUAUGAUGAAAUAUAUGAUUUUAUAAAAUACACGAGUCGUAUUAUACUUCAUUAUUUUCAAAACUUUCUGCUGAAAUUAUCUAUUAUGGCCCUCCAAAAUAUGCAGGUCGAGUUCCAAAUAGGUGCCGGUAGAUUAUUUUCACAAACAAUAAGUAUACUGAAAUAUUUUACAUUAUACACCACAAUUUGACUCCUCAGAAUAUAAUAUACAUAUAUCAUUAUAAAUAGAUAUAUUCAAUAAUUUAUUCAUAUACUCUUACAUUUGUCAUGAAAAAAAUGGCUUCUUCUCACUUUGUGGUAGGACUUCGUAGAAGUCGAAGGAACCAAACUCCAUCAGAAAAUUGAGGCGAAAAUCAAUAACGAUGAAGGAUAUCCAGUAAUCCUUAGGAGGAUUAUAGGAAUAUCUCCUUAUAAUGGUACGAGUGUACUCAGUUUUCUUCCUUAUAUAUUUUUUAUAGAGAAAAAGAGAAUACAAUAUUACACAAAGAUUGUAGCAUAAAGAGGUUUAUCACUGCAAACUAUAUUCAACUUAACAAUAUAAAAAUAGAUCGCCGCUUAUCCAUAAGCGUUCGAGUUGAUCAAUUGUUAUAAGAUUUUUUAUUGUUAUUCUCAGACUAAAAUAUGUAAGUGUACACCAAUAUUGAUUACCCUGUAUAUUGUGAUGAAUUCAAACAAAGACAUGCUUGUAAGUUAUGCAUCAGACAACUUCUCGCGAUCAUUCGACUUCCAGAAGUCGAAGGAACCAAACUGCAACAGAAAAUUGAGCCAAAAAUCAAUGACGAUGAAGGAUAUCCAAUAAUCCAUAGAAGGAUUAUAGGAAUUUAUAAUGGUACGAGUGUACUCAGAUUUCUUCCUUAUAUAUUUUUUUAUAGAGAAAAAGAGAAUACAAUAUUAGACCAAGAUUGUGGCAUAUACAGGUUUAUUACUGCAAGCUAUAUUCAACUCAACAAUACAAAUAGAUCCCCGCUUAUCCAUAAGUGUUGGAGUUGAUCAACUGAGCAAAUUCAAACAAAGACAUGCUUGCAAGUUAUGCAUCAGACAAUUUCUCACGGUCAUCCGCCCCUCUCAUGAUGAUUCCUGCUCAACAACAAAUUAUCCUCAUUGGAAAAAUUCAGUCACAAACUUCGAAAUUUCAAUAUCAAAUGACAUGUAGUAGUUUUUGUGUGCUUGAGUGCUUGGGCUGCAAAUAAAAGUUGCGAGCGAAGGAAAGAAGAGAUUUUGACUGCACCAAGUGUAAAUGGACAACAUUAUUUCCUCGGUAAUUUUGGGUGAUGUAGCUGAAAAAAUGCUCGACAUGACAGCAAACGAUAUAUUUGACACAACAUGUGACAGAUACAAACUUAGACCAAUUAAUUAUUUUGUAUUAGUAUAUUUUAUGUAUAUUCUUAUUAUGUAACCCACAAUUUAAUUAUUUUUAGCAUGAAAAAUUCAUCUAUAUGUACUUUUACGGUACUUUCAUUUCAGCUUAGUUUACCUGGUACUUUAGAUCUAAAAAAUUAUCUUUCACUUUUAGAAAUAACUCACACACAUUAACAAUGUCCUAGAUAUGUUUUCGGACAGAAUCUUCCGAAUUCAAUUAAGAUAAUCAUUCUUGAAAAGUUCUGACAAUGUGCAUACAAGUCUAUCAGUGUUGUCCUACAUAGAAAAGGAACAGGUCUUUGCACCAAAUAUUAGCGAGAGAAGCAAAACGUAAGUCAAGACUCUAGGAACAAAUGAGGUCGAAAUGGAAAGAACAAAUGUGAUAUCUGAAUCUUCAAGCGCAGGGCUGAAACUAGAACCAUCAACACCAUAAAAAAAAUUAUAAAAGGUGAGUCCCAUUAUGUAUGCGUGAGAUUUUCUUCUUUCCUCUGGAUUCUUAAUUGAUAUAAUUAUACUAUAAUGCAGCUUAGAAUUGCUUUUUUCUCACAAAAUUGUCUUCUUUUUACUCUUAUUUAUGCUUGCCAACCGCAAGAAGUAUCUACCUUUUUAGGAUCUUUUGCCACCGGAAAAGAAAUCCGUUUUGGGUUCACAUAUGUACGGUAAAGUCUUACACCUCUUCCCCUUCACAGUUUUGUCUAUUCUGUAACUUAAUCCAUUGAACUUGUGAAUGAAAAUGGAUCUUAACUUUGUUUUUGUGUUUGUUCCUGAUACAUUUAGUUUAUUAAAAAUUAUCUGGAGAGAAAACUACACUCCCAUUCUCAUAGCUCUCUUGAUGUUCUGUUACUUAAUUGGUUUUGCCUAAAUCCUCUUCAAUAGGUUGAUAUUACAAUUUUCAAUCCUUUACAUAUUAGCAUGUCACAAGCCGAUUGAAUUUAUACUUCAAGUACAGAGAUAGAGUGAGCAGUAUCCCAAAGAAUUUUAAGUAUUCGCUUUUACUAAUUUUACUGUCGUUCUGUAUCAGCAA